CUUUGGCAGCACAUGGCAGCACUAAAAUUGGAACGAUACAGAGAAGAUUAGCAUGGCCCCUGUGCAAGGAUGACACGCAGAUUUGUGAUGUGUUCCAUGUUUUU